UGCCUCGUGCCGGGAUCGAACCAGCGCCUGUAUGCUUACUGGGCAGACGCUCUGCUCCUGAGCCAUACGGC